UGUUGCAACCUCAGCUUUUGUGCAAGUCAAUAAAAUACUUUUUCCUUUUGUGUUGUUUGUAGGUUCAUGGCAGUUUUCAUCCCCUCCAUCUAAGAACUGUUUACAAACAUUUGUUAUUAAACUUCGCAGCACCAGAGAAGGGCUGCAUUCAGUACCUGUCUGUCUGCCUGUGACACCGAGAUCUGCUGCUGUUUGCCUGGGGAUGCCCCGUGCUUUGUAUCUGCCAGGCUCAGCGGGGCCGUGACAUCAGACGUUUUCAAAACAAAGAAUUCAAGCCCAACCUGGAUGUUGUACACAGGAGACCUGAAAAUGCAAGAAUCUGUCUCAUCUUAUGGGCCACAGAGCUAAACACUGUCUCUGAAGAGCUUUUGACCCAGCAUGCCCCAUACAGGCAGCAGCUAAACAGAGUUGUGUGCAUUUGGAGUCAGUAUUUUCUCUGA
rnacentral:lncRNA from 1 species